AUUGAACGCGCUGGGCAGACCUAACACAUGCAAGUCGGGCGGGGGAGAGAAGCCUGCUUCUCUUUUGAGCGGCGGACGCGUGAGUAAUGCCUAGGAAUCUGCCUGGGAGUGGGGGGUAACGUUCGGAAACGGACGCUAAUACCCCAUACGUCCUAUGGGAGAAAGCGGGGGACCUUCGGGCCUUGUGCUAUCUGAUGAGCGUAGGGCGGAUUAGCUAGUUGUGGAGGGAAUGGCUCUCCAAGGCGACGAUCCGUAACUGGGCUGAGAGGAUGAUCAGUCACACUGGAACUGAGACACGGUCCAGACUCCUACGGGAGGCAGCGGUGGGGAAUACUGUGACAAUGUGCGAAAGAGUGUUCCAGCCUACCGCGUGUGUGAAAAAAGAUCUUCGGAUUGUAAAACACUUUAAAUUUGGGGGGAAGGGUUUUGGAUUAAAACUCUGCAAUUUUGAGGUUCCCGACCGAAUAAAGCGCCGGGUAACUCUGUGCCAGCACCCCCGGGAUAACAGAGGGGGCGAGCGUUAAUUGAAAUUUCUGGGCGUAAACGCGCGUAGGGGGGUUGUUAAGUUUGAUGUGAAAUCCCCGGGUCACCUUGGGAACUGCUUCAAAACUGAGUGAGUAGAGAUUGGUAGGGGUGGGUGAUUUUCUUUGUGGGGUGAAAUGCGGGAUAUAGGGAGGGACUCUCGGGGCGAGGGGCACACUUGGCUAUAACGACCUGAGGGGCGAAACGGGGGGGCAAAUAGGAUUGAUACUCUAGUAGCCAAGGGCGAAUUCACUUGGCUCUGCGCCCGGGGAUCAUUGUUUGGGGGGCCGCCCGGGGGCCCCUACCCCCUAAUGGGGACAUGGGGCGCCUCUGAGCUCUGUAGACGCCCGGACUGGAAACCCUGCGUACCAAAUAACGCUUAAGUACUCUCCUUUUCUCAUUUGGGUAAACC
rnacentral:rRNA from 1 species